rnacentral:tRNA from 1 species
GUGCAAAUAGCUCAGUCGACAGAGCAUGAGACUCUUAAUCCCAAGGUUGUGGGUUCGAGCCCCACGUUGGGUG